rnacentral:rRNA from 1 species
AGAGCGAACGCUGGCGGCAGGCCUAACACAUGCAAGUCGAGCGCCCGUAGCAAUACGGGAGCGGCAGACGGGAUAGUAACACGUGGGAACGCGCCCUUCGGUUCGGAAUAACUCAGGGAAACUUGAGCUAAUACCGGAUACGCCCUUACGGGGAAAGAUUUAUUGCCGAAGGAACGGCCCGCGUCCGAUUAGCUAGUUGGUGAGGUAAUGGCUCACCAAGGCGACGAUCGGUAGCUGGUCUGAGAGGAUGACCAGCAUCACUGGGACUGAGACACGGCCCAGACUCCUACAGGAGGCAGCAGUGGGGAAUAUUGGACAAUGGGCGCAAGCCUGAUCCAGCCAUGCCGCGUGGAUGAUGAAGGCCCUAGGGUUGUAAAGUCCUUUAACGGGGAAGAUAAUGACGGUACCCGUAGAAUAAGCCCGGCUAACUUCGUGCCAGCAGCCGC